UACGUAGGGUGCAAGCGUUAAUCGGAAUUACUGGGCGUAAAGCGUGCGCAGGCGGUUGUGCAAGACCGAUGUGAAAUCCCCGGGCUUAACCUGGGAAUGGCAUUGGUGACUGUACGGCUAGAGUGUGUCAGGAGGGGGGUAGAAUUCCACGUGUAGCAGUGAAAUGCGUAGAGAUGUGGAGGAAUACCGAUGGCGAAGGCAGCCCCCUGGGAUAACACUGACGCCUCAUGCACGAAAGCGUGGGGAGCAAACAGG
rnacentral:rRNA from 1 species